UUAGUAGUAUAAAUUAAAUUAAAAUUAGUAUUAGUUAUGUUCUUGAAAAUUAAAAAUUUUGGCGGUAUUUUAGUCUUUUCAGAGGAACCUGUUUUGUAAUUGAUGAUCCACGAUAAAUUAAACUUAUUUUAUUAAUUUGUAUAACGUCGUAGAUGAAUAUCUUAAAAGAGAAUAAAUAUUCAAGAAUUAUGAUUAUAAAUUAAAUCAGAUCAUGUUGCAGUUUAUAAAUAAGUAAUAAUGGGUUACAAUAUUAAUAAAUAUACGGAUUAAUAAAUUGAAAAUUUUUAUGAAGGUGGAUUUGAAAGUAAUUAAUUAUAUUUUUUUUUAAUGAUUUUAGCUCUAAAAUAUGU
rnacentral:rRNA from 1 species